rnacentral:rRNA from 1 species
CCUACGGGAGGCUGCAGUGGGGAAUAUUGCACAAUGGGGGAAACCCUGAUGCAGCGACGCCGCGUGCGUGAAGAAGUAUUUCGGUAUGUAAAGCUCUAUCAGCAGGGAAGAAAAUGACGGUACCUGACUCAGAAGCCCCGGCUAACUACGUGCCAGCAGCCGCGGUAAUACGUAGGGGGCAAGCGUUAUCCGGAUUUACUGGGUGUAAAGGGAGCGUAGGUGGCAUGGUAAGCCAGAAGUGAAAACCCAGGGCUCAACUCUGUGGAUUGCUUUUGGAACUAUCAAGCUAGAGUGCUGGAGGGGUAAGCGGAAUUCCUAGUGUAGCGGUGAAAUGCGUAGAUAUUAGGAGGAACACCGGUGGCGAAGGCGGCUUACUGGACAGAAACUGACACUGAGGCUCGAAAGCGUGGGGAGCAAACAGGAUUAGAUACCCGGGUAGUC